rnacentral:lncRNA from 10 species
GGGGCUUGGAAUUGACAGGCCGGAGGUGGGGCCCGAGUUCCUGUCUCCAGCCCACGAUUUGCCGAUCCAUCUGUCUUCCUCAGAGAGAGAGGGCGGAUAAUGCAGACUGCGCUUCCUUGGAAGACGGCAGGCUCCAGGCCAGACAAACGAAUGUAUCAACCAUACAGAUGAAGAGCUGAGGCUCAGGGAAGGAAUUUGCCAAGGUCACGAAGCUGUAAGACACAGAACCUGGGGUGUCUGCCUGUAGAGCUCACACUGACUCUACAGCCACUGAUCCAAAGCUUCAGUAAG